UACGUAGGGCGCAAGGCGUUGUCCGGAAUUAUUGGGCGUAAAGAGCUCGUAGGCGGCCUGUUGCGUCCGCUGUGAAAUCCCGGGGCUCAACCCCGGGCCUGCAGUGGAUACGGGCUGGCUAGAGGCAGGCAGGGGAGAACGGAAUUCCUGGUGUAGCGGUGAAAUGCGCAGAUAUCAGGAGGAACACCGGUGGCGAAGGCGGUUCUCUAGUACGGUACUGACGCUGAGACGCGAAAGCGUGGGGAGCGAACAGG
rnacentral:rRNA from 1 species